AUACGGAGGGUGCAAGCGUUACUCGGAAUCACUGGGCGUAAAGCGCGCGCAGGCGGUCUUUUAAGUUGGAUGUGAAAGCAUACGGCUCAACCGUAGAACUGCAUCCAAAACUAUUAGACUAGAGUGUGGGAGAGGAAGAUGGAAUUAGUUGUGUAGGGGUAAAAUCCGUAGAGAUAACUAGGAAUACCAAAAGCGAAGGCAAUCUUCUGGAACACUACUGACGCUGAGGCGCGAAAGCGUGGGGAGCAAACAGGAUUAGAAACCCUUGUAGUCC
rnacentral:rRNA from 1 species